GAUGAACGCUGGCGGCGUGCCUAAUACAUGCAAGUCGAACGGAGAUUGUAGCAAUACUUUCUUAGUGGCGAACGGGUGAGUAACGCGUUGGUGACCUGCCCCGAAGUGAGGGAUAACAGCCCGAAAGGGUUGCUAAUACCUCAUGCGGUUUUGGAGAUUAGAUGCUCCUUAACCAAAGGAGAAAUCCGCUUUGGGAGGGACCUGCGUCCCAUCAGCUUGUUGGUAGGGUAAAGGCCUACCAAGGCUAUGACGGGUAGGGGACCUGAGAGGGUGGCCCCCCACAAUGGAACUGAAACACGGUCCAUACACCUACGGGUGGCAGCAGUAGGGAAUAUUGGUAAUGGGCGAAAGCCUGAACCAGCAACGCCGCGUGUGCGAUGAAGGCCUUCGGGUUGUAAACCUCUGUCAGUGGGGGAAGAAGGAAGUGACGGUACCCAAGAGGAAGCCCUGCUAACUACGUGCCAGCAGCCGCGUAAUAGUCACGUCG
rnacentral:rRNA from 1 species